CCUGAAUCAGUGUGUGUGUUAGUGGAAGCGUCUGGAAAGGCGCGCGAUACAGGGUGACAGCCCCGUACACAAAAAUGCACAUGCUGUGAGCUCGAUGAGUAGGGCGGGACACGUGGUAUCCUGUCUGAAUAUGGGGGGACCAUCCUCCAAGGCUAAAUACUCCUGACUGACCGAUAGUGAACCAGUACCGUGAGGGAAAGGCGAAAAGAACCCCGGCGAGGGGAGUGAAAAAGAACCUGAAACCGUGUACGUACAAGCAGUGGGAGCACAGAGCAAUCUGUGUGACUGCGUACCUUUUGUAUAAUGGGUCAGCGACUUAUAUUCUGUAGCAAGGUUAACCGAAUAGGGGAGCCGAAGGGAAACCGAGUCUUAACUGGGCGUUAAGUUGCAGGGUAUAGACCCGAAACCCGGUGAUCUAGCCAUGGGCAGGUUGAAGGUUGGGUAACACUAACUGGAGGACCGAACCGACUAAUGUUGAAAAAUUAGCGGAUGACUUGUGGCUGGGGGUGAAAGGCCAAUCAAACCGGGAGAUAGCUGGUUCUCCCCGAAAGCUAUUUAGGUAGCGCCUCGUGAAUUCAUCUCCGGGGGUAGAGCACUGUUUCGGCAAGGGGGUCAUCCCGACUUACCAACCCGAUGCAAACUGCGAAUACCGGAGAAUGUUAUCACGGGAGACACACGGCGGGUGCUAACGUCCGUCGUGAAGAGGGAAACAACCCAGACCGCCAGCUAAGGUCCCAAAGUCAUGGUUAAGUGGGAAACGAUGUGGGAAGGCCCAGACAGCCAGGAUGUUGGCUUAGAAGCAGCCAUCAUUUAAAGAAAGCGUAAUAGCUCACUGGUCGAGUCGGCCUGCGCGGAAGAUGUAACGGGGCUAAACCAUGCACCGAAGCUGCGGCAGCGACACUGUGUGUUGUUGGGUAGGGGAGCGU
rnacentral:rRNA from 1 species